AAAUUCAGUCUGUACUGAUACAAAAAUCAGCCCAUAAAAGAGGUUCACCCAGGGCGAGGCUUAGCCAUUGCACUCCGGUUGAGCUGACCUCUGCAAAUUCCCCAAAUGUGUGAAUCUUGACUGCAUAAUUUCUGGUAGUGGGGGACUGCGUUCACGCUCUCCCCUG